rnacentral:rRNA from 1 species
UUGGAGGGCAAGUCUGGUGCCAGCAGCCGCGGUAAUUCCAGCUCCAAUAGCGUAUAUUAAAGUUGUUGCAGUUAAAAAGCUCGUAGUUGAAUUUCGGGGUCAGUAGGUUGGUCAUGCCACUGGUAUGUACUGGUCUCACUGAUUCCUCCUUCCUGAUGAGCCGUAAUGCCAUUAAUUUGGUGUUGCGAGGAAUCUGGACUGUUACUUUGAAAAAAUUAGAGUGUUUAAAGCAAGCUAACGCUUGGAUACAUUAGCAUGGAAUAAUGAAAUAGGACGUUCGAUCCUAUUUUGUUGGUUUCUAGGAUUGACGUAAUGAUUAAUAGGGAUAGUUGGGGGCAUUAGUAUUCAAUUGUCAGAGGUGAAAUUCUUGGAUUUAUUGAAGACUAACUACUGCGAAAGCAUUUGCCAAGGAUGUUUUCAUUAAUCAAGAACGAAAGUUAGGGGAUCGAAGACGAUCAGAUACCGUCGUAGUCUUAACCAUAAACUAUGCCGACUAGGGAUCGGAUGAUGUUAAUUUUUUAAUGACUCAUUCGGCGCCUUACGGGAAAC